AUGGGGAAGAUAGCAAAGAGUACAAUCAAUGGAUGGGACGACGAAGACCUGAACAAUGGAGAUUCUGUUACUCAGCGUGAGCUUUCUCUCACACGGACAGAGGGAGAAGAUGCCUAUUUAAACUGUACCUACACUGACGAUGCUGAUUACUUGUUCUGGUACCGCCAGUCCCCAGACAGACAGCCUGAGUUCGCAGUCCGGAGGCUUACGAGUGGCGGUGCAGUAAAGAAAGCGGAUUUUGCUCAGGCCCGGUUUUCUGAUGAAAUCCAACAGUUGGAAAAAUUGUACCAAUUGAAAACCUCAGGGCUGCUACUGUCUGACACCGCCGUUUACUUCUGUGCAAUGAGGCUCACAACGAUGCAAGACAGUGAAAGACUCGUACAAUAA